GCAGGAAAUACAACCAGCUCAAAUACAAGUGUGAACACAACCGGACCACUAACAGGCGGUGGAAACACAAGCAGCUCAAGUACAACUGCGGUCACAACCACACCACCAGCAGGCGGCGGAAACACAAGCAGCUCAAGUACAACUGCAGUCACAACCACCCCACCAGCAGGCGGCGGAAACACAAGCAGCUCAAGUACAACUGCAGUCACAAC